rnacentral:rRNA from 1 species
UAGGGAAUCUUCCACAAUGGGCGAAAGCCUGAUGGAGCAACGCCGCGUGUGUGAUGAAGCUUUCGGGUCGUAAAGCACUGUUGUAUGGGAGAACAGCUAGAAUAGGAAAUGAUUUUUAGUUUGACGGUACCAUACCCAGAAAGGGACGGCUAAAUACGUCCCAG